UACGAAGGGGGCUAGCGUUGUCCGGAUUUACUGGGCGUAAAGCGCACGUAGGUGGUUUGCUAAGCCAGCUGUGAAAUCCCCGGGCUCAACCUGGGCACUGCAGUUGGAACUGGCAAGCUAGAGUAGGGUAGAGGGGUGUGGAAUUCCAGGUGUAGCGGUGAAAUGCGUAGAUAUCUGGAGGAACAUCAGUGGCGAAGGCGACACCCUGGACUCAUACUGACACUGAGGUGCGAAAGCGUGGGGAGCAAACAGG
rnacentral:rRNA from 1 species